rnacentral:snoRNA from 1 species
AAUCCAUGUUGUCGGCAUUGAUGCAGUAAACCUUUGUAUCGUUCACAAGCCUCUAAAUAGCAUUCUAAGUCCAAUUGUUGAAAGGUAGUGAUCUCGUCUCUUAGCUU